GCCCCAAUAGCUCAGUAGGUAGAGCAUCUCCAUGGUAAGGAGAAGGUCUGCGGUUCAAUUCCGCAUUGGGGCU
rnacentral:tRNA from 1 species